CUCCACGCGGGCGCCCGGGUCCCGCGGCAGGGCGCAGCGGGCAGGGCGCGCCCACGCGCCUUUGUCUGAUAACUAAUUUGAGUUAAUGCGAUCUGUAUGGAAAGCUAACAGCGGAUAAUUGUCUAUUUUCUCGCCAACAAUCUCCGUCACAGUCACUUAUCUGGAGACCUGCGGUUCGAUUAAUCGCUACGUCCCGGAAGCGCGGGCCGCACACGCGCGGUGGGCACCGGCGCCCCGCACCCUGGCCGGCGGGAGGACGUCCAGCCCCGGCCCCGCUCCCUGUCGGCCCCGCUCCCGGCCGGCCCCGCUCUGGGCCCAGCUCCCCGCGGGCGUCCCAGUGUUUACGCCUCGCCGAGCCAGGGCGGCUCGGGGACCUCGCCGCCGCUCCGAUCCCGCCUCAGCCCCGCCGGCAGAGACGGGGCGGGUGGCGGCCGCCUCUGGGGAGAGGGUUGUGUGACAGAGUUUUGUCUCCCCAGCUAAAGUCAGAACAUCAGCGUCAACUGCGAAUCGCUCGGCGCGGACUUCGCCUGUGCAGCUGAGGCCUCUGCUGCCCGAGGGACCGAGAGGGCAACUUCUCAAAGUGGAGUUUCUGGAAAACAGCAAAUUCAGACUCCACUGGGACAGUUUUGGGCCACAGAAAAAAAAGCAUUGGCUUCCUGUUUGCAGGAGACUCAAACUUCCGUGAAGGAACAGGAAAUAAAGGCGGGAAGCUGCUGUGUGUGUGGCAAAGCCGCCUGCGCUCCUCCCAGGCGCGUGCCCUGAGAUCCUGUCAAAAAGCCUUCUCCAGCCACCCUGAGGGCCCUAGGAGCAGCAGGUCGCCCCAGCUCCGCGCUCUUUCUGGCGGCCCUUGGGAGGCACCUACUUCGCCUCUCACCUGAAUCUCCCACCUCGGCCAUCUAGAGGGAUCUGUGGACAAAGCUGAGCCCAGCGACAGCCCUGGUCAGUCAGGCGGAACGGUCUAUGCAAAUCGGGGCCCGGGAACAGUGCCCCUUUGUCCUGGCCUUUCAAAGCCCGGCAGCUGGGGACUUGUGCCUUGGACCCUCGGCGCCCACAGCUAUGUCAUCAUGGCAGAACGUCAGAUGCUGAAAACUAUACGACCUGAAUUCAUGAGCAGCCUUCUUGGGAAGGUCCCCUUUCCGGUCCGCGUCAAAGCCCAGAGCCGCGUGCCGGUGGGUCAGGGCAGGUCGGCCGGACCGCUGCAGUGAGGGGAGAGGUCACCUGCCCGCCCGGCUCCCCAACCUUCCUAACUGUCCCCUGGGGCCCGCGCUGAUGUCUGACACUGGCGACCCUGAAAUGUCUCCCCAGUCCCACCUGAUGCAGAUUGCAAGUUUCGGAGACAGCAAGCAGCCGUGAUAUCCAGCUCUGGGAAUGAGCAGAGCGUCCGGCCUCUGCCUGCUCCAGAGUGCCAGGGAGGGAAUGGAAGCUCCCUGGGUGAGAGCGAACUCCAGACAGUGCUCACCAGACAGCAAACUCCUUUUUAAGCCAGCGUGCAAGGCAUGAGCUUGGGGCCCCUGUGUGGAAGUUCGACUCCCUCUGGGUCGUGGGGUCCCUCAGUGCUCCCCUUCCUGGGUGACCUUGCAGCCCCUGGGGCUGGGGACCCAUAAAUGAGACCUGGGCUGUCACCAGUGCCACGGCCCAGUGUGCGCCUGCGGGGCGGGGGGCCCCACGUUCCUGGGAGGCCCAGGGCCUGAGCUCACCCCCACCCCCGCUCCCCAGCCCUCGAGUGCUGGCCCCUGAGCUCUGAAGGGUGCCCUGCUUCUCUGGAGGAUCCUGCAGCCCAGGCCCUCUGCCUGCCGCCUCCUCGCACUGGAAAACGUUCCCAGGAAAGAGGUCACCUGGAGACGCCACCAGGUCACUUCCCAGUGAGAGCUGAGGACCCAGGGACCCAGGGAGCAUCAGAGGCAGACGUGCUGGUUCUCCCCUCCCUCCGCAUGUUGGUGAUUGAACCCAAGGUCUUUUCAAUGAACUACAUCCUCAGUCCCUUUUUUUUUAUUUUGAGACAGUCUUGCCAAGUUGCCCAGGCUAAGUUUGAAGUUGUGAUCCUCCUGUCUCAGCCUCCUGGAGUGCCAGGAUUAUAGCCAACCACCACCAAGCUUGCCUGUUUGACAAACUGAGGAGCGAGGGUUCAGCGGGGCUGCAACCAAAUACUACUUUGUAGUUGCAACAUGGAAGGCUGGGAAACAAACAGGAAAGGCCGCACAGGGCGUGGCCGCGUGGCCGUUGGGUUGGGAGGGUGCUGGCGCAGCUCUGACUGUCGACGCCUUUGGGCCUCGGAGCGCAGCUCCUGGGGGUCUCUGGACCUUGGAGGGCGCUGCCCAAGGCCGCACCCCCGGAGACCAGAGUUUGGGCCGUGAGCACGUGGGGUAUCCAGGGCCUGAGUCGCCUGGAGGCAGAGGCUGUGCCAGCCUGGGUCUCCGACGUCGACCCAGCCUGUGGACCACGCCUGGGUUCAGCAGCCUGCGGAACUCGAGUGCCAGAGCGGCCAAGCGGUCCGGGUGGGUGGAGCUGUGGCCGAGGGGCCUUGUCCGUCCCUGCACACAGGUCCCAGGGCUGCUGACCUCCGCAUCGGCUUGGCCCUUCUGCUCUCACACACACUCACUCCCCAGCAUCGUCUCUGCAGAUGGUCUCAGGGUUGUGGCGUCGCACACUCUCUCACACUCUCCGUCCGCCCUCAGUCUCCACAGAGCCGGUGGGGGGAUGCUGGGUGGGUGGCACCCGACUCCCAGGGCAGGGAAGCCACAAAGCCGGCAGGGGCCCCUCGUGGAGGCCCCCACGUGUGCUUCUGAGCCCCAGGCUGCCUCUCCUGUGCAGCACGGUGGUGCCGGGUCCCUGACACACAGGCCACGACCUGCCCUCCGUGCUUCCUGGUCCUGUCGGCCCUGCUCAUGACUCUUCGUCGACCACCCUUGGACGCUGCCUGGACGUGCGCUGCCAGGAAGGUGGAUGCCAGCAGGGCUGUGAGCGCAGAGACUCACGAGUGUGACGUCCGCACCCACAUAAAGAUGCUGAUGGGAAAUGCGUGGGAAACCCAUUCCUCCCCGAGUGUUGGCUACAGUGUGUGUAUUUUGGGUGUAUUGGGUCUAAUAAAAUAUAUUCUUGAAAUCAA
ensembl:lncRNA